GAUGAACGCUGGCGGCGUGCCUAAUACAUGCAAGUCGAGCGAAUGGAUUAAGAGCUUGCUCUUAUGAAGUUAGCGGCGGACGGGUGAGUAACACGUGGGUAACCUGCCCAUAAGACUGGGAUAACUCCGGGAAACCGGGGCUAAUACCGGAUAACAUUUUGAACCGCAUGGUUCGAAAUUGAAAGGCGGCUUCGGCUGUCACUGAUGGAUGGACCCGAGUCGCAUUAGCUAGUUGGUGAGGUAACGGCUCACCAAGGCAACGAUGCGUAGCCGACCUGAGAGGGUGAUCGGCCACACUGGGACUGAGACACGGCCCAGACUCCUACGGGAGGCAGCAGUAGGGAAUCUUCCGCAAUGGACGAAAGUCUGACGGAGCAACGCCGCGUGAGUGAUGAAGGCUUUCGGGUCGUAAAACUCUGUUGUUAGGGAAGAACAAGUGCUAGUUGAAUAAGCUGACACCUUGACGGUACCUAACCAGAAAGCCACGGCUAACUACGUGCCAGCAGCCGCCGCGG
rnacentral:rRNA from 1 species